GAUGAACGCUGACAGAAUGCUUAACACAUGCAAGUCAACUGUGGCGGACGGGUGAGUAACGCGUAAAGAACUUGCCUCACAGAUAGGGACAACAUUUGGAAACGAAUGCUAAUACCUGAUACUGUGAGAGAGCUUUGCGCCCCAUUAGCUAUUUGGAGAGGUAACGGCUCACAAAGGCGAUGAUGGGUAGCCGGACUGAGAGGGUGAUCGGCCACAAGGGGACUGAGACACGGCCCUUACGGCUACGGGAGGCAGCAGUGGGGAAUAAUGGACAAUGGACCAAAGUCUGAUCCAGCAAUUCUGUGUGCACGAUGAAGUUUUCGGAAGGAAAAGUGCUUUCAGUUGGGAAGCAGUACCAACAGAAGAAGUGACGGCUAAAUACGUGCCAGCAGCCGCGGUAAUAC
rnacentral:rRNA from 1 species